rnacentral:rRNA from 1 species
CAGUCGCCACGGGAAUACGAAGGGUGCAAGCGUUACUCGGAAUUACUGGGCGUAAAGCGUGCGUAGGUGGUGGUUUAAGUCCGUUGUGAAAGCCCUGGGCUCAACCUGGGAAUUGCAGUGGAUACUGGGUCACUAGAGUGUGGUAGAGGAUAGUGGAAUUUCCGGUGUAGCAGUAAAAUGCGUAGAGAUCGGAAGGAACAUCUGUGGCGAAGGCGACUAUCUGGGCCAACACUGACACUGAGGCACGAAAGCGUGGGGAGCAAACAGGAUUAGAUACCCCGGUAGUCCCUGUCUCUUAUAC